GGCCCUCUUCUCUGCUGCUGCUUUUCUGCAGACUCACAGCAUCACCUGGAACCUGCUGAGAGUGCCACCAAAUGAAGGAGCAGCGAGAACCCACUGGCUGCACUUUGGAACAAGAUAAUCUGCUCUCAUCCUCCAUGACUGAUGGAAGAGGUCACAACAGCAACUCUACCCCUGUAUCAGAGCUUUUUAGGUAAACCUGAUGGACUUGGGAACUCUCCUGAACCUACUCAAGCUAUAACCAGAGUGACGCAGCACUGU